AUUGAACGCUGGCGGCAGGCCUAACACAUGCAAGUCGAGCGGAUGAAGGGAGCUUGCUCCUGGAUUCAGCGGCGGACGGGUGAGUAAUGCCUAGGAAUCUGCCUGGUAGUGGGGGAUAACGUCCGGAAACGGGCGCUAAUACCGCAUACGUCCUGAGGGAGAAAGUGGGGGAUCUUCGGACCUCACGCUAUCAGAUGAGCCUAAGUCGGAUUAGCUAGUUGGUGGGGUAAAGGCCUACCAAGGCGACGAUCCGUAACUGGUCUGAGAGGAUGAUCAGUCACACUGGAACUGAGACACGGUCCAGACGCCUACGGGAGGCAGCAGUGGGGAAUAUUGGACAAUGGGCGAAAGCCUGAUCCAGCCAUGCCGCGUGUGUGAAGAAGGUCUUCGGAUUGUAAAGCACUUUAAGUUGGGAGGAAGGGCAGUAAGUUAAUACCUUGCUGUUUUGACGUUACCAACGGAAUAAGCACCGGCUAACUUCGUG
rnacentral:rRNA from 1 species